GAUGAACGCUGGCGGCGUGCCUAAUACAUGCAAGUCGAGCGAACAGACGAGGAGCUUGCUCCUCUGACGUUAGCGGCGGACGGGUGAGUAACACGUGGAUAACCUACCUAUAAGACUGGGAUAACUUCGGGAAACCGGAGCUAAUACCGGAUGACAUGUUGAACCGCAUGGUUCAACAGUGAAAGACGGUCUUGCUGUCGCUUAUAGAUGGAUCCGCGCCGCAUUAGCUAGUUGGUAAGGUAACGGCUUACCAAGGCAACGAUGCGUAGCCGACCUGAGAGGGUGAUCGGCCACACUGGAACUGAGACACGGUCCAGACUCCUACGGGAGGCAGCAGUAGGGAAUCUUCCGCAAUGGGCGAAAGCCUGACGGAGCAACGCCGCGUGAGUGAAGAAGGUCUUCGGAUCGUAAAACUCUGUUAUUAGGGAAGAACAAAUGUGUAAGUAACUAUGCACGUCUUGACGGUACCUAAUCAGAAAGCCACGGCUAACUACGUG
rnacentral:rRNA from 1 species